rnacentral:rRNA from 1 species
UGGGGAAUAUUGCACAAUGGGCGCAAGCCUGAUGCAGCCAUGCCGCGUGUAUGAAGAAGGCCUUCGGGUUGUAAAGUACUUUCAGCGGGGAGGAAGGCGAUAAGGUUAAUAACCUUGUCGAUUGACGUUACCCGCAGAAGAAGCACCGGCUAACUCCGUGCCAGCAGCCGCGGUAAUACGGAGGGUGCAAGCGUUAAUCGGAAUUACUGGGCGUAAAGCGCACGCAGGCGGUCUGUCAAGUCGGAUGUGAAAUCCCCGGGCUUAACCUGGGAACUGCAUUCGA